CCUACGGGAGGCAGCAGUGGGGAAUAUUGGGCAAUGGAGGCAACUCUGACCCAGCAAUGCCGCGUGAAUGAAGAAGGUCUUCGGAUUGUAAAGUUCUUUAAUCAGGGACGAAGAAGAUGAUGGUACCUGAGGAAUAAGCCACGGCAAACUAUGUGCCAGCAGCCGCGGUAAUACGGAGGAUGCGAGCGUUAUCCGGAUUUAUUGGGUGUAAAGGGUGCGCAGGCGGAAGAUCAAGUCAGCGGUAAAAUUGAGAGGCUCAACCUCUUCGCGCCGUUGAAACUGGUUUUCUUGAGUGAGUGAGAGGUAUGCGGAAUGCGUGGUGUAGCGGUGAAAUGCAUAGAUAUCACGCAGAACUCCGAUUGCGAAGGCAGCAUACCGGCGCUCAACUGACGCUCAUGCACGAAAGUGUGGGUAUCGAACAGGAUUAGAUACCCCUGUAGUC
rnacentral:rRNA from 1 species